UGAGAACCCAAACCCAUUGACCCUCUCCCCUUUCUUGCCCAAAAUUGCCGACCCUCUCCCUUCUUCUCGUCAACUCCGUCACACGCGGCGGAGCUCAGCGCACGUCUCUGAGGCCGACCAGGCGCCACCACACACGCGGGCGACUCAGUUGAAGGGGUCAUGACCGGGCGCGGAGGUCCCCAGCCAGCUGCGGGGGGCGCAUAGCUGCGGAGCGAGGGCUUUGGUCGGAGAAACAAGAAGAGAAGGCAAGUUCAUUUCCAAUUGCUGGUAUGAAAUCGUAGAGAUAGCAGUUGUUGCUCGAUUUGAGGAUUCAUUUGGCUACAUAUGAUGUUUGUGGAUUGCGGACAAAAUUGGCUAGGUUUGAAUAGGUUGUGAGUUAAUCUCAGGUGAUGCUCCUGCUAUGGUUUGUUUCAUAAAGAUUGACUUGGAAACUUUGGUAAUUUUUUUUAUGGAUUUGAAUGGUAUCAUUUUGCUAUGCUCUCGGUUCUUCUUGUAAAUCCUGGACAGAAUUACCAUAGUGAUGGUUAGGAGGUGAUCAAAGAGGUUCUUGUCUCUUCUAUGGGGAAGGCUUACGUUUUGUUACUGGUUGUGGCUUCCAAAAUUUUUGGCGUCGAAAGGGAAAAUUGUCGGGAUUCUUGUAGUUCAUGAAUAGGUGCUAUCGUGAGAAAUUUCUUCUUACAUUUCUGUUCACUUAUAUGUGCAUGCUGGUGGUAUUGCCGUAUUCAGAUUUUGUAAAAUGAAGUAGGGUGGCUUAAUUUGUUCAGUUUCUCUUAUUGUUAUUAUCUCUGUAGAUGUUUAUCUCAU